CCUACGGGGGGCAGCAGUGAGGAAUAUUGGUCAAUGGACGAGAGUCUGAACCAGCCAAGUAGCGUGAAGGAUGACUGCCCUAUGGGUUGUAAACUUCUUUUAUAUGGGAAUAAAAUGUUCCACGUGUGGGAUUUUGUAUGUACCAUAUGAAUAAGGAUCGGCUAACUCCGUGCCAGCAGCCGCGGUAAUACGGAGGAUCCGAGCGUUAUCCGGAUUUAUUGGGUUUAAAGGGAGCGUAGGGGGAUUGUUAAGUCAGUUGUGAAAGUUUGCGGCUCAACCGUAAAAUUGCAGUUGAAACUGGCAGUCUUGAGUACAGUAGAGGUGGGCGGAAUUCGUGGUGUAGCGGUGAAAUGCUUAGAUAUCACGAAGAACUCCGAUUGCGAAGGCAGUUCACUGGACUGCAACUGACACUGAGGCUCGAAAGUGUGGGUAUCAAACAGGAUUAGAUACCCCAGUAGUC
rnacentral:rRNA from 1 species